CGCAGAGAUCGAGUGGUGGUCCGCUCAUCAGACUCAUGAUCUGACAAAAGGGGUUCGAUUCCCUACUCUGCUU
rnacentral:tRNA from 1 species